AUGGUUAAGCUACUAAGAGCACACGGAGGAUGCCUAGGCGCUAGGAGCCGAUGAAGGACGUGGCGAACAACGAUACUGCCUCGGGGAGCUGUAAGCAAGCUUCGAUCCGGGGAUGUCCGAAUGGGGAAACCCAGCUGGUGUAAUAGCCAGUUACCCGUAUCUGAAUACAUAGGAUGCGAGGAGGCAUACCCAGGGAACUGAAACAUCUAAGUACCUGGAGGAAGAGAAAACAAGAGUGAUUCCGUCAGUAGCGGCGAGCGAACGCGGAACAGCCUAAACCAGAGAGUUUGCUCUCUGGGGUUGUGGGACGUCUCACAUGGAGUUACAAAGGUUUAGAUUAGACGAACAGGUCUGGAAAGGCCGGCCAUAGAAGGUAAAAGCCCUGUAAUCGAAAAUGUGAACCCUCCGAGACGGAUCCCGAGUAGUGCGGGGCACGUGAAACCCCGUAUGAAUCCAGCAGGACCAUCUGCUAAGGCUAAAUACUCCCUAGCGACCGAUAGUGAAGCAGUACCGUGAGGGAAAGGUGAAAAGCACCCCGGAAGGGGAGUGAAAUAGAACCUGAAACCGUGUGCUUACAAGAAGUCAGAGCCCGAUCGAUGGGUGAUGGCGUGCCUUUUGUAGAAUGAACCGGCGAGUUACGUUCCCAUGCAAGGUUAAGGCGAGAAGCCGUAGCCGCAGCGAAAGCGAGUCUGAAUAGGGCGAUGUAGUAUGUGGACGUAGACCCGAAACCGUGUGAUCUACCCCUGUCCAGGGUGAAGGUGCGGUAACACGCACUGGAGGCCCGAACCCACGUACGUUGAAAAGUGCGGGGAUGAGGUGGGGGUAGCGGAGAAAUUCCAAUCGAACUCGGAGAUAGCUGGUUCUCCCCGAAAUAGCUUUAGGGCUAGCCUCGGAAUGAAGAGUCGUGGAGGUAGAGCACUGAUUGGGUGCGGGGCCCGCAAGGGUUACCAAGCUCAGUCAAACUCCGAAUGCCAUAGACUUAUAUCCGGGAGUCAGACAGUGAGUGCUAAGAUCCAUUGUCAAAAGGGAAACAGCCCAGACCAUCAGCUAAGGUCCCCAAGUGUGUGUUAAGUGGGAAAGGAUGUGGAGUUGCACAGACAACCAGGAUGUUGGCUUAGAAGCAGCCACCAUUUAAAGAGUGCGUAAUAGCUCACUGGUCGAGUGACUCUGCGCCGAAAAUGUAACGGGGCUAAACACACCACCGAAGCUAUGGCUUGAUGCUUGCAUCAGGGGUAGGGGAGCGUUGUGUAUGCGUUGAAGGUGUACCGUAAGGAGCGCUGGAGAGUACACAAGUGAGAAUGCCGGUAUGAGUAACGAAAAGAUCAGUGAGAAUCUGAUCCGCCGAAAGCCCAAGGUUUCCUGAGGAAGGCUCGUCCGCUCAGGGUAAGUCGGGACCUAAGGCGAGGCCGAAAGGCGUAGUCGAAGGACAACAGGUUGAAAUUCCUGUACCACCGUAAACCGUUAUGAACGAUGGGGUGACGCAGGAGGGUAGUGACGCGGACUGAUGGAUGUCCGUCCAAGCAGUGAGGCUGAUGUGUAGGCAAAUCCGCACAUCGUAAGGCUGGGCUGUGAUGGGGAGUGAAAAUUACAGUAGCGAAGGUCAUGAUCUCACACUGCCAAGAAAAGCCUCUAGUCAGGUGAAGGUGCCCGUACCGCAAACCGACACAGGUAGGCGAGAAGAGAAUUCUAAGGCGCGCGGAAGAACUCUCGUUAAGGAACUCGGCAAAAUGACCCCGUAACUUCGGGAGAAGGGGUGCCUCGGUAGGGUGAAUAGCCCGAGGGGGCCGCAGUGAAAAGGCCCAAGCGACUGUUUAGCAAAAACACAGGUCUGUGCGAAGCCGCAAGGCGAAGUAUACGGGCUGACGCCUGCCCGGUGCUGGAAGGUUAAGGGGAGCGGUUAGGAGGUAACUCCGAAGCUGUGAACCGAAGCCCCAGUAAACGGCGGCCGUAACUAUAACGGUCCUAAGGUAGCGAAAUUCCUUGUCAGGUAAAUUCUGACCCGCACGAAUGGCGUAACGACUUGGGCGCUGUCUCAACGAGAGAUCCGGUGAAAUUUUAAUACCUGUGAAGAUGCAGGUUACCCGCGACAAGACGGAAAGACCCCAUGGAGCUUUACUGCAGCUUGAUAUUGGAUUUGGGUACGAUCUGUACAGGAUAGGUGGGAGCCUUUGAAGCAUGAGCGCCAGCUUGUGUGGAGGCGACGUUGGGAUACCACCCUGAUCGUAUCUAGGUUCUAACCUGGUACCGUGAUCCGGUACGGGGACAGUGUCAGGCGGGCAGUUUGACUGGGGCGGUCGCCUCCUAAAGAGUAACGGAGGCGCCCCAAGGUUCCCUCAGAAUGGUUGGAAAUCAUUCGAAGAGUGCAAAGGCAUAAGGGAGCUUGACUGCGAGACCUACAAGUCGAGCAGGGACGAAAGUCGGGCUUAGUGAUCCGGUGGUACCGCAUGGAAGGGCCAUCGCUCAACGGAUAAAAGCUACCCUGGGGAUAACAGGCUUAUCUCCCCCAAGAGUCCACAUCGACGGGGAGGUUUGGCACCUCGAUGUCGGCUCAUCGCAUCCUGGGGCUGAAGUAGGUCCCAAGGGUUGGGCUGUUCGCCCAUUAAAGCGGUACGCGAGCUGGGUUCAGAACGUCGUGAGACAGUUCGGUCCCUAUCUGUCGUGGGCGUAGGAAAUUUGAGAGGAGCUGUCCUUAGUACGAGAGGACCGGGAUGGACGUACCGCUGGUGCACCAGUUGUUCCGCCAGGAGCACGGCUGGGUAGCUACGUACGGACGGGAUAAGCGCUGAAAGCAUCUAAGCGUGAAGCCCCCCUCAAGAUGAGAUUUCCCAGUAUGUAAGACCCCUUGAAGACGACGAGGUAGAUAGGUUGGAGGUGGAAGUGCAGCAAUGCAUGGAGCUGACCAAUACUAAUCGGUCGAGGGCUUAUCCUA
rnacentral:rRNA from 1 species